GGACAUUUGAAACUUGCUUCGGAUGCUGGAUUUGACCUGCAUUUUUCAAACGAGUGACCAGGUGCAAAGCAGAAGAAAGUUGAGGCUGACCAGGAUCCUGAAGUGAGGAGUAUUCCCUCUCCUGUUUAACAGCAUUCAUGAGGAGAAAAAAUUUAAGCAGAGAUGCUGAGACAGUUCAGAAGAAACAUCACCAGGAGCCACAGGAACAGCAAAGGAAACUUAUAUGGAAGUAUUUUUGAUUUUCUCCCUU